rnacentral:rRNA from 1 species
AGCUCCAAAAGCGUAUAUUAAAGUUGUUGCAGUUAAAAAGCUCGUAGUUGAACCUUGGGCUUGGUUAGCCGGUCCACCUUUUUGGUGUGUACUGGAUCUAACCGAGCCUUUCCUUCUGGGUAACCUUCAUCCUCUGGGUGUUGGCGAACCAGGACUUUUACUUUGAAAAAAUUAGAGUGUUCAAAGCAGGCCUUUGCUCGAAUAUAUUAGCAUGGAAUAAUAGAAUAGGACGUUAUGGUUCUAUUUUGUUGGUUUCUAGGACCAUCGUAAUGAUUAAUAGGGACGGUCGGGGGUAUCAGUAUUCAGUUGUCAGAGGUGAAAUUCUUGGAUUUACUGAAGACUAACUACUGCGAAAGCAUUUACCAAGGACGUUUUCA